rnacentral:sRNA from 2 species
CCAACAUAGACCUCCGCUUUGAUAGAACAUCGCCAACUGUUUUUUAAGUUAACAUCUGCGACAAACAGUGGGAGACCAGCUUCUCACUCUUUUCAGUGAUAUCCACGAUCAUCUUUUCGGACGUCUCUUCCUCGAUAUUAGCCCCAACACCGUCAGUACUUUCGAAUUUGCUCCAAAUCAAGUCAACAACUUUCUCCCCCGAAGGCGGGUUUCACUCGAGAAACAAAGAUGGAAGUCGAGCAGGCUCCCACAGCCUUGCCACGAAGUCGUCCAUGGCGCUAGACUCGCCCGCGGUUUAAUAUCAGUGGGAUGAAUGCUCUUGGCUUGCAUGCAUGUGCCAUCACAGCCAGGGACGCAGCAAGGGUUUACCAUCGUUAUUGGACACUAAACAUGUUGAACGACAGCCUUGAUGUGCUGUAACUCCUCCAGGCGAACAUCCUACUGGGCGCGAGACAUCUCAUAUUUCAGGCGUUCUUGUCUGAGGAUCUCAUGCAAAUUGCGCCCUGUCUUGAGUGAAAGCAUGGCUUAACAUGGGGGUGAUGAUAUGACAGAGACGUGCAGUAUAUUCCUUGCAGGUCAGGUUGAUAGGCUUAGAAGUUAGGAG